rnacentral:lncRNA from 1 species
GAGUUUUGAUGUGAGUCUCCUAAUUAAUCAAGGAGAUUUAUUUCCUUGAUUAAUUAAGGGAUUUACUUUCCUAUUCUAUAUAGUUGACAAAUCCAAAUCAUUGUAUAAUUAGGAGAUAUUAUCCUAAUUGAUUACUGUAUAUAUUUCCUUGUAAAACACUCAUGUAAACUCCUAUAUAUACCUCCUUAUGGAGAAGAAUAAAACUUAACCUAAAGUAUUCAAACCA